CCGUGUGACCUGCAGCAUGACACCAGAGGAAAAAAACCCUAACAAAACAUCAACAAUGAAGACAAAAACAGAACAAGAUCGACCAAUAACAAAUGCUGGUGAGGCUGUGGGAAAAAAGGUGCAACAGUUUUCAAGUUGACAUAAAAUUUGAGAAGAAUAAUGACCAUUGUUAAUUUCCUAUUCUGUAUCAUUUUUAUUGUUUUUUUUCUUUUCUCUUUUUAAAAUAAAAAAAAAUGAGCAGAAAAUGCAAAGAAUUCCCAUCUACCCCAUCACCCAUAAGCACAAACCUCCCCCACUCACUGCCGACAUCCCCUUCAGAGUGUACUGUGCAUUUGUUACAAUGACUCUGUGCUGAUGCAUAUUAAAGUCCAU
rnacentral:lncRNA from 1 species